GCUAUAUGAACAUUAAUCGUAUAGAAUUUCUAAAGUAUAGCUUUAUUGUUUAGGAAAAUUAAUCAAACAAUAUUUGGUGAUAUAUUUAAUAAUAUAUUUUUCAGAUUGUUUAAUUCGAAAUUAUAUCAUAGCGUUUUUGUCAGUAUCGAACGGAAUUAUUCCUUUUUUGUCUCUGGUCACCUUUAGAUUUCGUCUGUGGAUCGAUUGUCAUUCCGCUCGGAUGACUUCCCUCUUGUCAUCUGACUAAAGAACCUCUCAUCUUUUUUAUCCACGUGAAUCAAGAUAUUUUGAGUCCUUUUGAGUGAAUCCUUUUAACUGUUCGUUCCCGGAGUCUCUGGAGCAGUCACAGAUGUGAACUAGCGGCGUCCAACGCCUUCCCGGCGUAUUCCUAAUACCAUGGAAGGCUAACAUACGGGGCGUGUUAGCCUUUCCUUUUUCUUUCUUUUCCUUUUAUUUUAUUCCUUUCUUUCCAUUUUUUCCGCUUGCUUUUUACUCCAUGUGGACCUCCACAUCCAAAAGCAAGAAAACUUCAAUGGUGGGCGUGUAGAAUUGCCUCCAAAAGCGACUUUCCAUUAAAUCUGACCCCAUGUGGUCCACCUACUUCGAGUAGCUAAAGUCACGCUGGCUACCACCCGCCUCUGAGCGUCGUGCACAUGCGCUGUGGGGUCCACAACAUCUGAAUGGCGCGUUAAAGUUACCUCGCUGUGCGCCCACGGACGAAGGUCUCAUUCAACACCUUGGUAAAUGUGUACCCUCGCAGGUCGGUGAACCUCCCUUUUUAGAUAUAUCCUAUGCAGUGUCUCAAACUUGUAAGAUAACUUAACUAGAUUUAGUAAUUAACCUCCACCUUCUGUGGAACUAUGACUUUGGUUUACUUAUAAAAAAUUCUGUAUCUGAACGCUUAGAACAAUAUAUAUGAUGUCUAAAGGCAAUAA